ensembl:lncRNA STXBP5-AS1 STXBP5 antisense RNA 1
GGUUCACAGCAAAGAGGACAAAGAAAACAGCAAGUUUUAGGGGGUUGAAUCCUGGAUUCCCCUGGCAAACACCAUUCUACUUUCCGUCUCUAUGAAUUUGACUACUCGAAGUACCUCAUGUGAAAUGUUGGUGCCAAAUGAACUUUUCUGGUUCUUCUGAAUAUCAUUUGCUCCAGAAGAAGCUGGUUGCCAUGUCUUGAGGACAGUAAACCCUCUGGGGAGGUUCCUGUGGUAAGGAACAAGGGCUCCUGGCAAUAGCCUCUGAGUGAGCCACCUUGAAAAUGGAUUGUCCAGCCCCAGUCAAGCUUUCAGAUGACUGUAGCUCCUGCCAAUGUCUUCACCACAACCUCAUGAGAUCCCAAGCUACAACCACUCAGAACUUCAUCUUUUGGGAAGCACCAGGGAGAGCUGCCUGUGCCUGGCAGAAGCUGCCCAUGCCCCACUGAUACCCCACAGUACUUCCUGUUCUGCUUAGUACUCCUGCUUCUUUCUACAAACAACUGUGAUUCUCUACCUGGGAGCUUCCUCUGGCCACAGGAGCCUGCUCACCUGAUUGGGACACCCUAGCAGUACUGGCUCAUAGAUGGAAGGGACUUGCCUUGUCGCUGAUGAGACUUUCGACUUGGACUUUUGAGUCAAUGCUGGAAUGAUUCCCAUAAUCCCCACGUGUCGUGGGGUGGAGCCGGUGGAGAUAAUUGAAUCAUGGGAACACUUUCCCCCAUGCUGUUAUUGUGAUUGUGAAUUCUCACGAGAUCUGAUGGUUGUAUAAACGCCUUCCCUCUUCGCUGGGCACUCAUUUUUCUCCUUCCUGCCACCAUGUGAAGAAGGAUAUGCUUGCUUCUUGUGCCAUGAUUACAAGAACACACUCAGAAAUUUUCUCAACACAGUUUCUAUGCAGAGAAGAGAUGUGGGACAGAUUUGAACUGCUGUCAUAUUUGUAUGAACCCAAGACAUUUUCCAAGACCAAGAGGGAUAAAGACAGCAAUUUCUAUGACUGGCAUUUUACGUGCAUGCACUGUUUCCAAGUGUUCUUGUGUUCUGUGCCUUAAACAUUCUGUGUUGCAACUUUAUGAAUUGAAUUAAAGAUAAUCCCAAGCCCCCAAUUGUCUCAAAAAGUGAAAAAGUAAAUGUUAUAGAAAGAAAAGCGGGAAAAACUUUAAGCAUGAAAUAAAAGAUGGGUUGUGAUAAAAGAGGACUGAAGAAGGAAAAGGAAUGAAAGGUUCUGCCAUCCUUCAUGGCAGCCCACUCCACUUGGUAUGAGAUACUGCUCCCUUGGCUGAAAGUUAACUGCUGUACUCCCUCCACUUUCUAUAAAUGACUCCCUGUGCCUUUCCUUCACCACACAACUCACACUCUCUUCCUUCCUAGUGAGUCCACUAAGGCUUCACUGCAUUAUUACAUUUAUUUCAUUUAGGAAAAACUGACUUUAUUUUCCUUCAAAUUGUUUUUUAUUGUUUAUAUGAGCUUGGUUUUAUUGUCAUUCUAUUUUUCUCCAUGAAAAUAGAGAAAAAUAGGGUCGAAAGGUUAGGUUGGGUGGAAAGGAAUUAUAUUUUUUCUCACUAAAAUUGAUGUAAAUAUCGUUUUCAAUUGAAUGAUUUUACACAGUGGCACAGUUUCAGGUAUGUUGCUAAGCAGGAAAGUUGUUAACCAAAGCAUGAAUGUAUUAAGGAGAUGUAUGCAGAAUGACAUGCAAGGUUAUCUAUGAUUGCUGAGUGAGAAAGAGCAAGUUGCUGAGUAUUAUAUAAGUAUG